AUAGGUACGGAGGGACUUGC
rnacentral:siRNA from 1 species